GAUGAACGCUGGCGGCGCGCCUAAUACAUGCAAGUCGAGCGAAUGGAUUAAGAGCUUGCUCUUAUGAAGUUAGCGGCGGACGGGUGAGAAACACGUGGGUAACCUGCCCAUAAGACUGGGAUAACUCCGGGAAACCGGGGCUAAUACCGGAUAACAUUUUGAACCGCAUGGUUCGAAAUUGAAAGGCGGCUUCGGCUGUCACUUAUGGAUGGACCCGCCUCGCAUUAGCUAGUUGGUGAGGUAACGGCUCACCAAGGCAACGAUGCGUAGCCGACCUGAGAGGGUGAUCGGCCACACUGGGACUGAGACACGGCCCAGACUCCUACGGGAGGCAGCAGUAGGGAAUCUUCCGCAAUGGACGAAAGUCUGACGGAGCAACGCCGCGUGAGUGAUGAAGGCUUCCGGGUUGUAAAACUCUGUUGUUAGGGAAGAACAAGUGCUAGUUGAAUAAGCUGGCACCUUGACGGUACCUAACCAGAAAGCCACGGCUAACUACGUGCCAGCAGCCGCCGCCG
rnacentral:rRNA from 1 species